rnacentral:lncRNA from 1 species
GCGCCAUCACCACAGACAACGCCGUCGUCUCUUCACCCAACGGAUUCAUCCUCGUACAAGACUGAAGUAAAGGUGAAAUGACUAUAACGUUAAGGUAAGCUCUGACCUUCACUUAAGUUAACGUUACGGUUAGUCACCAUCAUGUAUGUUAAUUUUGUUCACCGUAACGUUAACGUUAAGUUAGUUAAAUAAACUAAACUCAUUAUGAAACAAGUCUUAACUGUUUUAUUAAAUGAGGCUUAUAAUACAAUUCAGUUGUAUUCUUUUAAACUAACACUAACACAGUACAUAUUGUAUAUUUCUCACUGGUGUUAAUGCAGUGCUAAAAUUUACUAAUGAGGACUAAUUGUAUAUUGUCACUAACUGUAGAUUUUAUUUUUUGGUGUUCAGGUGUACCUGAUAAUAGCUAAAGUGUGAGCCACUGAUGUUGAAACACUGAUGCUACCAAUCAACCCUCUCUUGAUUAUUAAAGGUAAUGUUGAACCUUCCUCAUUUUUAUUAGAUUUUUAAAUGUCAGGUUUUUC